rnacentral:rRNA from 1 species
UACGAAGGGGGCUAGCGUUGUUCGGAAUGACUGGGCGUAAAGGGCGCGUAGGCGGUUGACCAAGUUGGGGGUGAAAGCCCGGGGCUUAACCUCGGAAUUGCCUCCAAAACUGGUCGGCUUGAGUGUGGAAGAGGGUUGUGGAAUUCCCAGUGUAGAGGUGAAAUUCGUAGAUAUUGGGAAGAACACCAGUGGCGAAGGCGACAACCUGGUCCAUUACUGACGCUGAGGCGCGACAGCGUGGGGAG